UACGAAGGGGGCUAGCGUUGUUCGGAUUUACUGGGCGUAAAGCGCACGUAGGCGGAUCGUUAAGUCGGGGGUGAAAUCCUGGAGCUCAACUCCAGAACUGCCUUCGAUACUGGCGAUCUCGAGUCCGGAAGAGGUGAGUGGAACUCCUAGUGUAGAGGUGGAAUUCGUAGAUAUUAGGAGGAACACCAGUGGCGAAGGCGGCUCACUGGUCCGGUACUGACGCUGAGGUGCGAAAGCGUGGGGAGCAAACAGG
rnacentral:rRNA from 1 species